UACAGAGGGUGCAAGCGUUGUUCGGAAUUAUUGGGCGUAAAGCGCGUGUAGGCGGCUUGUUAUGUCGGGUGUGAAAGCCCUCAGCUUAACUGAGGAAGUGCGCCCGAAACUGGCGAGCUUGAGUGCCGGAGAGGAUAGCGGAACACCCGGUGUAGAGGUGAAAUUCGUAGAUAUCGGGUAGAACACCAGUGGCGAAGGCGGCUCUCUGGGACGGUACUGACGCUGAGACGCGAAAGCGUGGGGAGCGAACAGG
rnacentral:rRNA from 1 species